CUUUUGUUCAUGAAACCACAUCUCAGGAACCUCAAGCUUCAAAUUCCCAAGCAAAUAGAGAUAGAGAAGAAAGCACAUGUGUUAGAGCAUUGCUCCAAACUAUGCAAGAUAGUUCAAUUGCAUUAUAUGAUGAAGAACAGGUCGAAUUGACACUGGAACCACUAGUCGAG